CCUGUAUUUGUAGGAGGAGUUAGCGGCACUAUAAAAGCCAACAUACACAUCUUCCCUUUGCCGUGCCUUUCAGUUCAUCCCACCCACCUCCUUUAAAUUCAAUUUACGGGGGGAGGGCCCUCUUUUAUUACAGGCCACUGCUUACAUCGGUUUUGGGCACACAACUACCGACCUGUUACAUCCAUUAUGUUAUUACACAGCUUUUAUGUUACCGACCACAAAUAAAUAAAUAUAUAG